AGUGAACGCUGGCGGCGUGCCUAAUACAUGCAAGUCGAACGGAGUGGCGCACGGGGGAGAAAAAUAUAGAUAAUAUGCGCCUUUCUGGGGGACAACAGAGAGAAAUGAGUGCUAAUACUCCAUAGCAAGGGAUGAGACUAUAUCGUAGCAGCUGGUCGGUGGGGUAACGGCCUACCGAGGCUAUGACGCGUAACUGGACUGCGAGGAUGAUCAGUCACAUUGGACCUGAGACACGGUCCAAGCUCCUACGUCCGGCAGCAGUAGGGAAUAUUGCGCACUGCGCGACACCCUGACGAAGCAACGCCGCGUGGAGGAUGACACUUAUCGGAGCGUAAUCUCCUUUUGUUAGAGAAGCGGUCCCUAACGAAUAAGCACCGGCUAACUCCGUGCCAGCCGCCGCGGUAAUAC
rnacentral:rRNA from 1 species